UGGGGAAUAUUGGACAAUAGGCGCAAGCCUGAUCCAGCCAUGCCGCGUGAGUGAUGAAGGCCCUAGGGUUGUAAAGCUCUUUCACCGGUGAAGAUAAUGACGGUAACCGGAGAAGAAGCCCCGGCUAACUUCGUGCCAGCAGCCGCGGUAAUACGAAGGGGGCUAGCGUUGUUCGGAUUUACUGGGCGUAAAGCGCACGUAGGCGGACUUUUAAGUCAGGGGUGAAAUCCCGGGGCUCAACCCCGGAACUGCCUUUGAUACUGGAAGUCUUGAGUAUGGUAGAGGUGAGUGGAAUUCCGAGUGUAGAGGUGAAAUUCGUAGAUAUUCGGAGGAACACCAGUGGCGAAGGCGGCUCACUGGACCAUUACUGACGCUGAGGUGCGAAAGCGUGGGGAGCAAACAGG
rnacentral:rRNA from 1 species